rnacentral:tRNA from 1 species
AGGGGCAUAGUUUCAACGGUAAAACAUCGGUCUCCAAAACCGCAGUUGGGAGUUCGAGUCUCUCUGCCCCUG